UGUUUCUUUUUUUGUAUUUUUUGUUAGAAGUGAGCACCCAUGAAAACAAAAAGAACGGAAUCAAUCGAUACCGUAAUCGCUUGUUUUCGAAUAGGAUAAAUAUGGGAGCGUGAGAUUACUGAUGGCACACAUACACUACUAGAAUUGAAGUAAUGAGCUGAAUUUUUGUAUGGUGAGAAGAUUUGGUGGGGCAAUGAGAGCGCAAGUCAGUCCAAAGCCGAUGAUAAGGAGGGGUAAUGGCAGAAUAGUCUUUGCUGACCACAUAAACGCCAUGCGAUAGGAAAAGGGUAUUUUGGUGUGGGAUUAGGGUGUUGGUACAGACUUGACAAUAUCAAUGCUACAUAUUCAGAUGCAAAAUAAUUUUAAGGCACAAUAGUGAAUCGCAUACCUUCCAAAACCAAAAAACAAUACUCCACAAAAUGCCAAGCAAGUCAAAGAAAGAAAAAGCGUCCGAUUGUUUAUUUUGACAAUUAUAACAGACGGACACUCCUACUCUCUCCAACUCGCCAGUUACCCCGGAAAAAAAUGUCCCUUCAGUUCUGGAAAAUAUAUUAUUCCCAAUUGAGCCUUUAAUCGAAUUGUCCGCGUGGUCUUGUAGUUUCUCUACUAGGUUAGAAUCAGUCAUUUCUAUACAUAUUAAAUGCUAGACAUAACCCGAUGGAUAGCAUUUGCCAAUGUAAAAGCUUUGCCUAUGUGACUUUCCUAUUAGGCAAUUCUCUCAUCUCAUGUUUGUCUUCAAAACCUUGUCAAGCUUAGAAAAUUAAUAUACAAUAAUUAAUAUACAAAACACUAUAAAGUUUGAAUUCCCAUAGAAUGA